rnacentral:lncRNA from 1 species
ACUGUUGCAGAAACGGUUGGGUCACUUCCACCACCAGGAUCUUUUGUAUAUUCAGAAAAAUGAGCUACCGUAAAGGUUUACCUCCACUUGAAGAGGAACUCCGAAGUUGUGAGGCAUAUCAAUUUGGUAUGCAAACAAGAUUAUGAUUCACAAAAUCAACUUGGUGAGCAACUUAACAAUUGCAGCUGGUUCUUUUUGAAAUUUAACAGAAGUCCUUAUUUCACUAUAUCAGAAUUACAUGUAUAUAUAGACGAGAAAGAAUCUGCAGAAUCUUCUUCUUUAUAGGAUUUUAGUUUAAAUUAUUUGCUUUCUGUGAAUAAGAUGUGGUGUUAAAACCUAUCUCUACCUAUCUUCCUAUUUCAAUCAUGUUAAAUUUAUAUUUCUACCACAUUUGUGUAAGGAUUUUUGUUUGUUACCACUCGGUGUCGGAUAAGUCCCGAUUAUUUUGGAAUUUGAAAAGUUUCAUCUGCC